rnacentral:rRNA from 1 species
GAUGAACGCUAGCGGCAGGCUUAACACAUGCAAGUCGAGGGCAGCAUGAGACUGAGAUUCGUCGAAGUCUUGAUGGCGACCGGCGCAAGGGUGCGUAACGCGUGAGCAACUUGCCCGUUUCUGGGGCAUAACCGGUGGAAACGCCGACUAAUUCCCCAUAGUAUUGAUUCCAGGCAUCUGUUGUCAAUUAAGAAUUUCGGAAACGGAUAGGCUCGCGUGACAUUAGCUAGAUGGCGGGUAACGGCCCACCAUGGCGACGAUCGGUAGCCGAACUGAGAGGUUGAUCGGCCGCAUUGGGACUGAGACA